GGAUAGAACUGACGCUCAGGCACGAAAGCGUGGGUAGCNNNNAGGAUUAGAUACCCUGGUAGUCCACGCCCUAAACGAUGUCUACUUGCUGUUGGGGGUAAAACCUAAGUAGCGAAGCUAACGCGAGAAGUAGACCGCCUGGGGAGUACGGUCGCAAGAUUAAAACUCAAAGGAAUUGACGGGGACCCGCACAAGCGGUGGAUGAUGCGGAUUAAUUCGAUGCAACGCGAAAAACCUUACCUGCUCUUGACAUGUUAGAAAUCCUGCAGAGAUGUGGGAGUGCCUUCGGGAAUCUAAACACAGGUGCUGCAUGGCUGUCGUCAGCUCGUGUCGUGAGAUGUUGUCUUAAGUGACGCAACGAGCGCAACCCUUGUCAUUAGUUGCCAUCAUUAAGUUGGGCACUCUAAUGAUACUGCCGGUGAUAAACCGGAGGAAGGUGGGGAUGACGUCAAGUCCUCAUGGCCCUUAUGAGCAGGGCUUCACGCGUCAUACAAUGGUCGGUACAAACGGUUGCGAAGCAGUGAUGUGGAGCUAAUCCGAGAAAGCCGAUCACAGUCCGGAUUGUAGUCUGCAACUCGACUACAUGAAGUCGGAAUCGCUAGUAAUCGCAGAUCAGCAUGCUGCGGUGAAUACGUUCCCGGGUCUUGUACACACCGCCCGUCACACCAUGGGAGUGGAGGAUACCAGAAGUUGUUAGGCUAACCGCAAGGAGGCCGAUUACCACGGUAUGUUUCAUGACUGGGGUGAAGUCGUAACAAGGUAACCAAGGGCGAA
rnacentral:rRNA from 1 species